GUCUACGGCCAUACCACCCUGAACGCGCCCGAUCUCGUCUGAUCUCGGAAGCUAAGCAGGGUCGGGCCUGGUUAGUACUUGGAUGGGAGACAGCACUUGAGAUGAAAAUAUUUAGUAAUCUAGUUU
rnacentral:rRNA from 1 species